AGCAUCAAGGCUAAUGGAGUCUCAGAGAACUACCUACUGUGCAAGUUUUUCCCUUAUUCACUUGCUGGAGAAGCCGCUUCUUGGCGGAAACAACUUAAAGCAGGUUCCCUCAAGACUUGGAGAAGCAUCAAGAUAGCCUUCUUGAACAAUUUCUACGAUGAUGCUAAGUCUUAGGAGU
rnacentral:sRNA from 1 species